rnacentral:tRNA from 1 species
GGGGGGGGGGCUCAGCUGUUGUAAGAGCACUUGGUUGCUCUUCCAGUGGUCCUGGGUUCAAUUCCCAGCACCUACA